UACGUAGGGCGCAAGCGUUGUCCGGAAUUAUUGGGCGUAAAGAGCUCGUAGGCGGCCUGUCGCGUCUGCUGUGAAAUCCCGGGGCUUAACCCCGGGCGUGCAGUGGAUACGGGCUGGCUGGAGGCAGGCAGGGGAGAAUGGAAUUCCCGGUGUAGCGGUGAAAUGCGCAGAUAUCGGGAGGAACACCGGUGGCGAAGGCGGUUCUCUGGGCCUGUUCUGACGCUGAGGAGCGAAAGCGUGGGGAGCGGACAGG
rnacentral:rRNA from 1 species